rnacentral:tRNA from 1 species
GGGGCUGUAGCUCAGUUGGGAGAGCGCUUGCAUGGCAUGCAAUAGGCCGAGGGUUCAACUCCCUCCAGCUCCACCA